UGCGGAGGGAUCAUUACCGAGUUUACAACUCCCAAACCCCUGUGAACAUACCAAUUGUUGCCUCGGCGGAUCAGCCCGCUCCCGGUAAAACGGGACGGCCCGCCAGAGGACCCCUAAACUCUGUUUCUAUAUGUAACUUCUGAGUAAAACCAUAAAUAAAUCAAAACUUUCAACAACGGAUCUCUUGGUUCUGGCAUCGAUGAAGAACGCAGCAAAAUGCGAUAAGUAAUGUGAAUUGCAGAAUUCAGUGAAUCAUCGAAUCUUUGAACGCACAUUGCGCCCGCCAGUAUUCUGGCGGGCAUGCCUGUUCGAGCGUCAUUUCAACCCUCAAGCCCCCGGGUUUGGUGUUGGGGAUCGGCGAGCCCUUGCGGCAAGCCGGCCCCGAAAUCUAGUGGCGGUCUCGCUGCAGCUUCCAUUGCGUAGUAGUAAAACCCUCGCAACUGGUACGCGGCGCGGCCAAGCCGUUAAACCCCCAACUUCUGAAUGUUGACCUCGGAUCAGGUAGGAAUACCCGCUGAACUUAAGCAUAUCAAUA
rnacentral:rRNA from 1 species